rnacentral:lncRNA from 1 species
CCACGUUGAUAGCUUCGGAGAGUAUCCCGAAUAUCUAGGAGCGGGUUGGAAAAAUCUUGGCGACCUCUCCAAUAAUGGGGAGAUCUUGGAGGUUUGUGUUAGAAGUUUUGCGGUGGCGAGCCAAGGAUCAUGGUGAGUAUCUAAACUAGCUUCUCCUCGACUGUCGGGCUCGUAGGAUCUUACUUCCUGAUGUGGUUUUACUUGUUUCGUCUCUAGGUAUUCCUUUGAGGAAGGCGACUUCACAAGUGCUGAUCAAGCUCCCAACUUCUGCUGACUCUGCCAGGGAAAGAGUCUGGCAAUUGUCUACUUUGAAAAGAAGUGCAGACUCACUAUUUUCCACUCUGGCAAGCCUUCCAC